rnacentral:rRNA from 1 species
UACGUAGGGGGCAAGCGUUGUCCGGAAUCAUUGGGCGUAAAGAGCGUGUAGGCGGCCCGGUAAGUCCGCUGUGAAAGUCCAGGGCUCAACCCUGGGAUGCCGGUGGAUACUGUCGGGCUCGAGUCCGGAAGAGGAGUGUGGAAUUCCUGGUGUAGCGGUGAAAUGCGUAGAUAUCAGGAGGAACACCUGUGGCGAAAGCGGCGCACUGGACCACAACUGACGCUGAGGCGCGAAAGCUAGGGGAGCAAACAGG